AGCCCGGCCGGACCCGGGUGGGAAAAAAGGGAAAGAAGGAGGUGAUGGCGGAAUUUUCAGAUGCCGUCAUGGAGGAAACCUUGAAAAAGCAGGUGGUUGAGGCCUGGAGCUACGAAGCCAUUGUCAGGGACAUGGACCCCUUUCUUCACUGCAUGAUCCCAAACUUCAUCCAAAGACGACUUCUUGGAAGGGCUUCAGAAGGAACUUAUGAACUUAGAUUUCCAUGACAAGUAUAAUGAUUUAUGUAAGUUCCAGCAGUCUGAUGAUUUAAAGAAGAGGGCCUCACAUCUCUGCUUUAAGGAAAAUUCUGUUUGAAGAUUUCUGGUCCUGGCUUUCUGGCAUUUCUAAAAUUUACUGGAACCAACCAUCGAUGUGUCCUGUGCUAAAUAUGAAUUCACUGAUGCCCUGCUGUGCCAUGAUGAUGAGCUAGAAGGGCGCUGGAUCGCCUUUAUCCUGUACCUGGUUCUUUCCUGGGACAGGAGCCUGGAGGGUAUCCUGGACCUGUACAACAUUGAUGAACACUUUCAACCGAAGCAGAUUGUCGUCUCUUACCCCUUUAUGGAACAAACUGGUUUUCUUUGAAGUAUCUGCAGUGUCCUUUCACCAGGUGUCCAAAGUCCUGUCUGAAGUCACAUUUGUCUAUAAGUGGCUGGUUUCAUGGUCCUUCACUGACUAGGCCUCCCAACUACUUUGAACCCCCUCAUAUCUUGGAGCCCUCACACCCCACAAGAACAUGAAAUUGUUUGAUUGGAUCAACCUUACUUAUCUGGACAUGGAUUACCAAAUUCAAACUCAAGAAGAGUUUGAAGAAAGUUCUGAAAUUCUCCUAAGAAAUUUCUUAAGCCUGAGAAAUUUGCAAAGGUCUGUGAGGCCUUGGAGAAUGGAGAUGUGGAAGAGAGCAGCUGAGGUCCCCCUAAGAAAAGAUGAUUCUAUGAGAAAGCUGAGGAGAGUAAGCUUCCUGAUAUAUUGAAGGAGUGCAUGAAGUUAUUUUGCUCUGAGGCACUAUUCUUGCUGCUCUCCAACUUCACAGGCCUGAAGCUUCACUUCUUGGCCCCUUCGGAAGAUGAGAUGGAUGACAAAAAAGAGGAAGCAGCAGCCUCUGCUGCUGAUAGAACUGAGGAAGGGACUGGCCAUAGCCCUCCUGAGCCAGAGAAUAAUCAGGCAGCCAUCAGCAUCAACGGCCAACAGAGCCAUGAGCAGACAGACCGAG
rnacentral:lncRNA from 1 species